GCCAUUUUGUGGGCGGGGGGCAACUGUAGUCUCAGGCGGUGAGGUGGUGCCUGCUCCGCGUCUCUGUCUUUUUCUAAAUACAUGAUAUAUAAGUAUAUACUUUAUAUAAAAAUAAAUGAGCCUGUGUUGAGAUAUUUGACUGUCUCAUUAUAUGGCAGAGCUUUGCUGUUAAAACGCUUGGUUUUGCAGAGCAGCUAACCUUUCCCCCGUGAUUACUUAAAUAAUUUUCACCUCUGUGUUUGUUUUGCUGUUCCAUCCCAAUGGUGUUGUCCUUGCGGCAGUGCUGCUCCUGGAUCAGUUCCAGUUUAAAUAACGGGAUUGCAAUACAUGAAGCUGAGGGAGAAAAGAAACCUCCCUCUGCACCUGUGAAUAAGUCCCAGUGACCCCAGUGGAGGAGCUCAUCUCUGUGUCAGCUUCAGUUGGUGAAGAUUUUUUGGUUUUGCCCUGUACAUUUCCUUUUUUAUGAAGCAACCAAGGCAAAAACAUUACAGGUUUGAUCAGGAAAUGCAAAUCCUCCUGGGUCUGUGAUACCAGGGCAGUAGUGGAGAAGAUCCUGAGCUGUGGGAGCAGGAGCCCUUCUGAAGGGCUGAUGCCCUUUCUGUGUAAAAGCCACCUGUGAAGCCAUCACAGUCUCUGAAGACCUUGGAGUCAGUUCAUGCAGAAGCACAGAAGCUGAGCCCCAUAAAUAAUGCAGCUGAUAUCAGGAAGAAGCUGGAGGUGUAGAAGACGUAGUGGAAAUCACUGGUUAUGUCUACCAGGAAACCUGGAAUAGAAAUCAAAGCUUAGCCAAAGAGAAGAGGCACUAAAGGCAUUCAGUUACAUCAACGUUAAACCUGAAUCAUUCAGCAAACUGCCAUAUACAAAAGACAAGAAUUCUCUCAUGAGUUAAGUUCUAUUCUCUGGAUUCUAGUGGUUGUUUAGUUUUUAUUUGUAGUCACAAGUCAGGUGAUACUUCUGUAGAAAGUAUUUCUCAAUACACACAGAAAUCAGGAAAGAAAGGAAAUUGUAAUUUUUCCCCAACCUGCUGCUUCAUUUCAUUUGCUCAGCAGAGAACCCUUGUGCCACUGAAUGAGUGACCCUAUUACAUCCUGGGGCAGAAAAUAGAACAACUAGAUAAAGGACUAGCUCAGAAACUUACAUAGUAAGGUCUCCAAACUGAACAUUUGUCUCUAAUGCUGUUUAAUGAAGGAUAAGGAAAUUCACAGCACAGCAAGAUUAUGACUAACAUAAAGUGACCUCAAUAUAAACCAUUUAGAAACAUGAGAUAUAGAGAGAGUCAUUUAACACUAAUAUUAGAGAUGGAAAAGUGAUACUUAGGCCAAAUACACGAUGCCUUCCAUCAUCAUAAGGCUGCUUAUCAAUGUGGAAAUACUGGAAUAAUGUUUAUUUGCUUGUAUUUUUCAGUCAAGAUUGGUGAUGUUUCUUUCCAUGGUGUACUUUCCUAUAGCAGAUUUUAGGACUGUGAACAGAAAUGGAGCUGCUUUUACUGUGCUUUUUUUUGCCCAUCUGCUGCUCCUGUCAGAGAUGACCAAGAAGGGACCUUUUUGGCUCUUUGAGAAAAGAGACUGACACGCUAAUGGCAGGGAGCACCAUGAAAUACACUGCAUGUUGCCACCACAUUAUUGAACCAGACACAAUUUUCCUGCUGAGUAGCCACAAUUCAUUGUCUGGAGAAGAGAACUAAAGCAUGAACUGAGGCUGACAUGCUCAGGUUGACAUUUGUUAUUUGUUGGUCUUUUGAAUUGAUUGCAGGAGCAGGUGUGUCCUGGACAGGUCACUUAGUGCCAUUUGGAGUGAACUGUGAAUAAUUUAUUAGACUGAGAGUCUUAACUAGCUCCUUUCUUGUCUCCAGAGAAAAAUUAAUAUGCUCCAGAACUUGGAAAGAAGACUGAACAGAAGCUUUUACUGUGGGGCUUUUGAAUAAUGUAGGACUGGUAAUAAUUGUGAACACAAAUAAUUCAUUUAAUGGGAUGUUCACAAUUUCUUGAGACUUCAUGGAUAAAGCAAUGCAAACUGGUAAAAAGGUGAAAAAGUUCAUAGCUAUUCCUGCUGGCUUCUUGCCACUGGAAAAAAGCUGUCAUUGCUCCCAUAUGUAUCAGAUCACAUACCAAGUAAUUUUUUCAGUGUGAUCUCGAUGCAGCUGUAGAAAUUACUUUCCAGCUGUCAAAAGAGGCUGAUGAUUCUUUUCCAACCGUACCUUUUAUACUGCUCCCUUUGCAUAACUCACCUACACCAAGGGUUUGGAAACUGGUGACAAGUGCUUGGGAGCAUCAAGAAGAGGAAUUAGGGAAUUUCCAGUUUCCACCACCUUUCCCCCAGCCAGGCUUCAUAGCCUCUCUCACCUGUGAGCGGGGCC